UACGUAGGGUCCAAGCGUUAUCCGGAAUCACUGGGCGUAAAGCGUGCGUAGGUGGCGUGUUAAGUGUGAUGUUAAAUCGUGUGGCUCAACCAUAUCGAUGUGUCGCAUACUGGCAUGCUAGAGGGAAGCAGAGGCAAGUGGAAUUUGUAGUGUAGCAGUGAAAUGCGUAGAUAUUACAAGGAACACCAAUGGCGAAGGCAGCUUGCUGGGCUUCUUCUGACACUGAGGUACGAAAGCGUGGGGAGCGAACAGG
rnacentral:rRNA from 1 species